GAUGAACGCUGGCGGCGUGCCUAAUACAUGCAAGUCGAGCGAACAGACGAGGAGCUUGCUCCUCUGACGUUAGCGGCGGACGGGUGAGUAACACGCGGAUAACCUACCUAUAAGACUGGGAUAACUUCGGGAAACCGGAGCUAAUACCGGAUAACAUGUUGAACCGCAUGGUUCAACAGUGAAAGACGGUCUUGCUGUCACUUAUAGAUGGAUCCGCGCCGCAUUAGCUAGUUGGUAAGGUAACGGCUUACCAAGGCAACGAUGCGUAGCCGACCUGAGAGGGUGAUCGGCCACACUGGAACUGAGACACGGUCCAGACUCCUACGGGAGGCAGCAGUAGGGAAUCUUCCGCAAUGGGCGAAAGCCUGACGGAGCAACGCCGCGUGAGUGAAGAAGGUCUUCGGAUCGUAAAACUCUGUUACUAGGGAAGAACAAAUGUGUAAGUAACUAUGCACGUCUUGACGGUACCUAAUCAGAAAGCCACGGCUAACUACGUG
rnacentral:rRNA from 1 species